UACAUGGGGUGCAAACGUUUGCUCGGAAUUAUUGGGCGUAAAGCGCGCGUAGGCGGUUAUCUAAGUCGGAUGUGAAAGCCCUCGGCUUAACUGAGGAAGUGCACCCGAAACUGGAUAGCUAGAGUACGAAAGAGGGUCGCGGAAAUUCCCGGUGUAGAGGUGAAAUUCGUAGAUAUCGGGGUGGAACACCGGUGGCGAAGGCGGCGACCUGGGUCGAGACUGACGCUGAGGCGCGAAAGCGUGGGGAGCAAACAGG
rnacentral:rRNA from 1 species